CAAAUACAUUUUACACCAAAAGCUUAUUAUAACUUGUGUACUGUAUAUAUUUAUUAUGCCAUAUUUGCAUGUUCUGAUCGCUAUGCUGCUCAUUAACUGUACAGUAUAUUUACAUGUGUUUACAUAUUGCCAUGUGUAUUUUUUGUUAAUAAGGUGCAACAUUUAAUUAAUAAUCUGUAACCGUAUAGAUAAUCAAUCUGUUUUCAGUUCCAAAUUCUCAGCUGUGAGGGCUCACUGCUUUUCUUUAUCUUAUCUGAUAUUAAAUUGAACAUCUUUCGAUUAUUGAUCAGAGAACAGAAGUGAUGAGAGGAUGUCAUUUUGAACUUUAUGAAACUGCAAUUGUUAUUUUUCACUAUUUUUUAUUUUAUAGACUUAACGAUUGAUUGUGAAAAUAGGAGACUUCUGCCUAACAAAACAAAACCUCUUCCAUAGACUAAGAGAUUAAAAAAUCAAAAAAUAAUUGGCAGAUUAAUCAAUAAUGAAAGUAAUCAUUAGCUGUAGCCUUAAUUACUGGAACUUCUAAAUACAGUAUAUGUGAUGUUUCUAUUUCUUGUACUAAGUGCUCCUUCAUACUUGUUUGAAAUUUUCAUUCUCUGUAGUUUUUUCAAACAUAAAUGAUGGAGAACAAAAAUGAACAGUCCUUGUUCUGUGGAGUCAGCAGUCUGACCACAACAAAUCAAGUGAGUAUUGUCUACAGUCUCUUUAGUACAAUUUUUUCUGUCCAUCGACUUAUCGAUUGAUCGACUAAUCCUGCAAGGCUUUGGACACAGAUUGACCUGUUUAUUUGCACAAAUUCAUUUUUAGAUAUUUAGUGUGUUAUUGUGUUGUUUGCAAAGGACAUCCAGUCAAUACACAACCACUGCUAGGUAUCAUCACACAUACAAUAAACAACGUGACAUAUAAACAUAACAUUACAACGAAUAAAACAAAUGCAGCUAUAGAGAAUUUAUGAUAUAACAUAUAGGCAGAUAUUCUACUUGCUAGUUAAUCACCUCAAUACCGUCGUGAUAACUCAGUUAUUCCGCAACCCCAUUGAUCUGAACGUAUUAAUAUUAAAACUGACUGUUCACUUUAUUCGAGACAUUUUCGCUGACCUUAUUGUUAUUGUUAUUAAUAUGCUAGUGUACUUUUUAUUUAUAAAACCAGCUAACACUUAGCCUAGCUAGUUUGCGGCAUGAACCGCUGUAAACUCCAGAUUAAACGUUUUACUGGCGUGUUUUAUUGUUGUGAAUAACUCUGUUGGUUCGUCUGGUUGGAACCCGUGAAGAUAAUGUGAUAACGGUUAACGUUAGGUGUGUCCGACGUGAAGCUGGUCCGCGCCCACCGAUAGCGGCUAACAACUAACAGCUAACGCUCAAGACGUCCUGUCGGUUAACGAUAAUGAACGUAAUGUGAUGAAUCCACGGAGGUUUCUACACGCAUAGCUAGUAAAGGGCCGUCCUGCGUCGUGUGGACUUGGACUUCUUAGUCUUCAUAUCAUCCAGUGACUCAUAAGUGUUGCCUUGGACAGCAGCAGCAAUGGCAGCAUCUCCAGGGAUCUGCUCGUAGGUGUCAUCAGGUUGACCAGCAGGUGUUGACCUCUGGGGGACCUCAGCAUACAUCCCAUCUCCCUGCUGAGUUGAACUCCCCCCUGGCCCCUCAGAGCGAAGCCUUGAAACCAGUCUGGGAAGUUUCCAUUGUUGAGCAUGAGCGCUGCCUGCGUCUCAGUGAACCACCUCAGAACCAGCUCCUUCAGGCCUCCUUCUGGUGUCUCCAUCUGCAGGUCUACACCCAACUUAUU